AUUGAACGCUGGCGGCAUGCUUUACACACGCAAGUCGAACGGCAGCGCGGGGCAACCUGGCGGCGAGUGGCGAACGGGUGAGUAAUAUAUCGGAACGUACCCAGAAGUGGGGGAUAACGUAGCGAAAGUUACGCUAAUACCGCAUACGAUCUACGGAUGAAAGUGGGGGACCCUCGGGCCUCAUGCUUUUGGAGCGGCCGAUAUCUGAUUAGCUAGUUGGUGAGGUAAAGGCUCACCAAGGCGACGAUCAGUAGCUGGUCUGAGAGGAUGAUCAGCCACACUGGGACUGAGACACGGCCCAGACUCCUACGGGAGGCAGCAGUGGGGAAUAUUGGACAAUGGGCGAAAGCCUGAUCCAGCAAUGCCGCGUGAGUGAUGAAGGCCUUAGGGUGUAAAGCUCUUUUUACCCCGGGAAGAUAAUGACUGUACCGGGAGAAUAAGCCCCGGCUAACUCCGUGCCAGCAGCCGCGGU
rnacentral:rRNA from 1 species